CUCAGAAUGAACGCUGGCGGCGUGCUUACACAUGCAAGUCGAACGAGAAAUCUUUAGCUUGCUAGAGAAAGUAAAGUGGCGCACGGGUGAGUAACGCGUGGGUAAUCUGCCUCCGAAUCGGGGAUAACAUUGCGAAAGCGAUGCUAAUACCGGAUAAAAUCUGGUUGGCUUCGGUGAACCGGAUCAAAGGUGGUCUCUUUAUAAAAGCUACCGUUUGGAGAUGAGCUCGCGUACCAUUAGCUAGUUGGUGAGGUAAAGGCUCACCAAGGCGACGAUGGUUAGCUGGUCUGAGAGGAUGAUCAGCCACACCGGAACUGGAACACGGUCCGGACUCCUACGGGAGGCAGCAGUGAGGAAUUUUGCGCAAUGGGGGAAACCCUGACGCAGCAACGCCGCGUGAGUGAUGAAGGCUUUCGGGUCGUAAAGCUCUGUCGGGUGGGAAGAACCCACCAAGUGUUAAGACCACUUGGUGCUGACGGUACCACCGAAGGAAGCACCGGCUAACUCCGUGCCAGCAGCCGCGGUAAUACGGGGGGUGCGAGCGUUAUUCGGAAUCAUUGGGCGUAAAGGGCGCGCAGGCGGUUUUGUAAGUCAGAUGUGAAAUCCCGGGGCUUAACCCCGGAAGUGCAUAUGAAACUAUGAGACUUGAGUAUGGGAGAGGGAAGCGGAAUUCCUGGUGUAGCGGUGAAAUGCGUAGAUCUCAGGAGGAACACCGGUGGCGAAGGCGGCUUCCUGGACCAAUACUGACGCUGAGGCGCGAAGGCGUGGGGAGCGAACAGGAUUAGAUACCCUGGUAGUCCACGCAGUAA
rnacentral:rRNA from 1 species